GCAGUUCUGAUAUCAAGCUAGAUAUCUCAACCACAGCAGCAGCCGCCAUUGACAGCCAUCCAACAAGCAGUGGGAGACCCUUUUUCCCCACAACAUCACAGCUUUUCCACAGCAACAAUAAUAACAACUCUCCAUGGUUAACAAGGUCACCAAUAUCAUCAUCUGAUCAUCAUCACCAUCAUCAUCAGAAUCCCAACAUCCACAAGACCAUCGAUCAGAUUGUGAAGGAAGAAAACCUCACCACCAUGUUCUGUAGCAUUGAUGACCAGUCUGGGUUUUGGCCUUGGCUUGAGCACCAGCAGUUCAAUUGAUCAUCAUACUAUCAUGAAUGAAGAAGAAUCCUUUGCUCUCCCACAACCAUGCAAGAAGAAAAGUUUGGUAA
rnacentral:lncRNA from 1 species